AAAAAAACUAACCACUUCAUAGUUUUACACAGUACAGUCUAGUAAUCAAAGUUUAGAUUAGUUUUAUUCUUUUUUAAUAUUUCUAGCUUUUUAUAUUCAUUUACAAUACUCUGUACAUCUCAAUAAACUGUAUUUAUUAAUGAACUUUUGAUAGGACUGAUGUGAAUUACAUGCAUACCAUUCAUUUUAUUGGGGGGGGGGGGGGGGGGGGUAGGUAGGAUUAAGGAAGAGCAUCUUUUUUUCCUACUUAAGUAAUUUAGAUUAUUUGUAAAUUAUAACUAUGAAUAAAAAAUGUUUAAGAUUUUUCACAGUCUUGAUUUCAACCAUUUGUGAAUUUAAAUAUUUCUUUUGUAUUUUUUGAAGAGUAUGGGAAUGUUUUCUGUGUUGCAUUACCAGACUGAUAUGCCUUAGUGGUUGUAUGAUCAGCAUUUGCAGGUUAAAGUUUGAAGCAUUGUACUGUGCAUGUUUUUUUUAAAUAUAUAAUGAUAAUAUUGUGUGUUUUGAGAGGCAGUUAUAAGCAGUCUGUAGUGUGAUAGAAGUUUUUAUACAUGUACAUGUGUUAGGUAUUUGUAAUUGAUGUUGUUGAUUCCUUCAAAUUGUUGUUGUUAUUGUUUUGAGAUGAAUUUGCAUUUAGUUUAAUUAUAGUUAUUUUAUAAAUGUCAGUGUUGUAUGACAUAGAAAAAAUCAAUAAUAAAAAAGAAAUAUUAAUUUUCUUUGUAU
rnacentral:sRNA from 1 species